UCGCCGCGUCGCCGCCGUCAUAGUGUUAUAAUUAACGUCGGACCGUCCGCCGCCGACGCCUCCGCCAUCGCGUUACCGUAGUACACGACACUUCGAACAGCGACGACAACAUCGUCAUUGCCGUUCACGCGAUUCCCGCCGUUGCCAGCCGCAGACCGUAAUUUUCGAACGAACGACCGUUUCCGCCAGUGAUCCCCGACAGCGGCUGCCGACGUACCAGUCGUACAAUAGCCGACGAGUACCCCGACAGUACGAUACGAUAUCAGCACAAUACGGUGUGCCCGCGUUCGUUACCGCGCCCGUCUCUCCGUUCCGCGCAUUCGGACAUUUCGCAUUUUUUCGCCGCGAGUUAC